AACUACCUCAUAGUAUAGCUAGUUUCCGACAUAGAAACCACUAUUAAAGUCACAACGGUGAAAGAUGAGCAUGCGUCCCAUUAGUUAGUUGGUAAGGUAACGGCUUACCAAGACAAUGAUGGGUAGGGGUCCUGAGAGGGAGAUCCCCCACACUGGUACUGAGACACGGACCAGACUCCUACGGGAGGCAGCAGUGAGGAAUAUUGGUCAAUGGGCGCAAGCCUGAACCAGCCAUGCCGCGUGCAGGAAGACGGUCCUAUGGAUUGUAAACUGCUUUUAUACAGGAAGAAACCCUCCCACGUGUGGGAGCUUGACGGUACUGUAGGAAUAAGGAUCGGCUAACUCCGUG
rnacentral:rRNA from 1 species